rnacentral:rRNA from 1 species
UACGGGAGGCAGCAGUGGGGAAUAUUGCACAAUGGGCGAAAGCCUGAUGCAGCUAUGCCGCGUGUAUGAAGAAGGCCUUAGGGUUGUAAAGUACUUUCAUCGGGGAGGAAAAAACAAACUAAUAAUUUUAUUUCUUGACGUUACCCGAAAAAGAAGCACCGGCUAACUCCGUGCCAGCAGCCGCGGUAAUACGGAGGGUGCUAGCGUUAAUCAGAAUUACUGGGCGUAAAGAGCACGUAGGUGGUUUUUUUAAGUUCAGAUGUGAAAUCCCUGGGCUUAACCUAGGAACUGCAUUUUGAAACUGAAAUACUAGAGUAUCGUAGAGGGAGGUAGAAUUCUAGGUGUAGCGGUGAAAUGCGUAGAUAUCUGGAGGAAUACCUGUGGCGAAAGCGGCCUCCUAAACGAAUACUGACACUGAGGUGCGAAAGCGUGGGGAGCAAACAGGGAUUAGAUACC